rnacentral:tRNA from 1 species
AGGAUUAUAAUUUAAAUAAAAUAUUUGAUUUGCACUCAAAAAAUAUUGAAUAUAUCAAUUUAUCUUA